AACAUCGCGCACCUGCGGGAACCUGCGGAGGGAUCAUCAUUGUAUCAAAUCCUUUAUACACCCUUGUGAACUAUGCAAACGCUGCUGUGAUCAUUCUCCAGCGCAUAUAUACGCGUGGGGGAAUGGUGAUAUGUGUGCGUCUGCGUCCACUAAUUUGGACGAGUUGGCGCGAUUAGUGUAUGGUGGUGCACUCAUACGCAUAUGACCAGUUGUGUCAAGAGCGCGUGAGUGUUGUCAUCU
rnacentral:misc_RNA from 1 species